rnacentral:rRNA from 1 species
CAGGCCUAACACAUGCAAGUCGAGCGGUAAGGCCUUUCGGGGUACACGAGCGGCGAACGGGUGAGUAACACGUGGGUGAUCUGCCCUGCACUUCGGGAUAAGCCUGGGAAACUGGGUCUAAUACCGGAUAUGACCUCCUAUCGCAUGGUGGGUGGUGGAGAGAUUUAUCGGUGCAGGAUGGGCCCGCGGCCUAUCAGCUUGUUGGUGGGGUAAUGGCCUACCAAGGCGACGACGGGUAGCCGACCUGAGAGGGUGACCGGCCACACUGGGACUGAGACACGGCCCAGACUCCUACGGGAGGCAGCAGUGGGGAAUAUUGCACAAUGGGCGAAAGCCUGAUGCAGCGACGCCGCGUGAGGGAUGACGGCCUUCGGGUUGUAAACCUCUUUCAGCAGGGACGAAGCGCAAGUGACGGUACCUGUAGAAGAAGCACCGGCUAACUACGUGCCAGCAGCCGCGGUAAUACGUAGGGUGCAAGCGUUGUCCGGAAUUACUGGGCGUAAAGAGUUCGUAGGCGGUUUGUCGCGUCGUUUGUGAAAACCAGCAGCUCAACUGCUGGCUUGCAGGCGAUACGGGCAGACUUGAGUACUGCAGGGGAGACUGGAAUUCCUGGUGUAGCGGUGAAAUGCGCAGAUAUCAGGAGGAACACCGGUGGCGAAGGCGGGUCUCUGGGCAGUAACUGACGCUGAGGAACGAAAGCGUGGGUAGCGAACAGGAUUAGAUACCCUGGUAGUCCACGCCGUAAACGGU